rnacentral:rRNA from 1 species
GACGAACGCUGGCGGCGUGCUUAACACAUGCAAGUCGAACGGAAAGGCCCUGCUUUUGUUGGGUGCUCGAGUGGCGAACGGGUGAGUAACACGUGAGUAACCUGCCCUUGACUUUGGGAUAACUUCAGGAAACUGGGGCUAAUACCGGAUAGGAGCUCCUGCUGCAUGGUGGGGGUUGGAAAGUUUCGGCGGUUGGGGAUGGACUCGCGGCUUAUCAGCUUGUUGGUGGGGUAGUGGCUUACCAAGGCUUUGACGGGUAGCCGGCCUGAGAGGGUGACCGGCCACAUUGGGACUGAGGUACGGACCAGACUCCUACGGGAGGCAGCAGUGGGGAAUAUUGCACAAUGGGCGGAAGCCUGAGGCAGCAACGCCGCGUGCGGGAUGACGGCCUUCGGGUUGUAAACCGCUUUCGCCUGUGACGAAGCGUGAGUGACGGUAAUGGGUAAAGAAGCACCGGCUAACUACGUG